UACGGGGGGGGCAAGCGUUGUUCGGAAUUACUGGGCGUAAAGGGUUUGUAGGUGGCCGGCUAAGUCAGACGUGAAAUCCCUCAGCUUAACUGGGGAACUGCGUCUGAAACUGAUCGGCUCGAGUGCAGGAGAGGAACGCGGAAUUCCAGGUGUAGCGGUGAAAUGCGUAGAGAUCGGCAGGAACACCCAGGGGGAAACCAGUCGACUGGGCAUCUACUGACGCUGAGGUGCGAGAGCGUGGGGAGCGAACCGG
rnacentral:rRNA from 1 species